CUACGGGAUGCUCCAGUCGAGAAUUUUUCACAAUGGGGGAAACCCUGAUGGAGCGACGCCGCGUGGAGGAUGACGGUUUUCGGAUUGUAAACUCCUGUCAUUAGAGAACAAGGCACACGGUUUAACUGGCCGUGUGUUGAUAGUAUCUGAAGAGGAAGAGACGGCUAACUCUGUGCCAGCAGCCGCGGUAGAUACAGAGGUCUCAAGCGUUGUUCGGAUUCAUUGGGCGUAAAGGGUGCGUAGGUGGCGAUGUAAGUCGGAUGUGAAAUCUCCAAGCUUAACUUGGAAACUGCAUUCGAUACUGCGUUGCUCGAGGACUGUAGAGGGCAUUGGAAUUCACGGUGUAGCAGUGAAAUGCGUAGAUAUCGUGAGGAAGACCAGUGGCGAAGGCGAAUGCCUGGGCAGUUCCUGACACUGAGGCACGAAGGCCAGGGGAGCAAACGGGAUUAGAUACCCUAGUAGUC
rnacentral:rRNA from 1 species